AACGAACGCUGGCGGCAUGCCUAACACAUGCAAGUCGAACGAGACCUUCGGGUCUAGUGGCGCACGGGUGCGUAACGCGUGGGAACCUGCCCUUAGGUUCGGAAUAACUCCCCGAAAGGGGUGCUAAUACCGGAUAAUGUCUUCGGACCAAAGAUUUAUCGCCUUUGGAUGGGCCCGCGUUGGAUUAGCUAGUUGGUAGGGUAAAAGCCUACCAAGGCGACGAUCCAUAGCUGGUCUGAGAGGAUGAUCAGCCACACUGGGACUGAGACACGGCCCAGACUCCUACGGGAGGCAGCAGUGGGGAAUAAGGGACAAUGGGCGAAAGCCUGAUCCAGCAAUGCCGCGUGAGUGAUGAAGGCCUUAGGAUUGUAAAGCUCUUUUACCCGGGAUGAUAAUGACAGUACCGGGAGAAUAAGCACCGGCUAACUCCGU
rnacentral:rRNA from 1 species